rnacentral:rRNA from 1 species
AAUGGGGGAAACCCUGAUGCAGCGAUGCCGCGUGAGUGAAGAAGGCCUUUGGGUUGUAAAACUCUUUCGUCGGGGAAGAAAAUGACUGUACCCGAAUAAGAAGGUCCGGCUAACUUCGUGCCAGCAGCCGCGGUAAUACGAAGGGACCUAGCGUAGUUCGGAAUUACUGGGCUUAAAGAGCUCGUAGGUGGUUAAAAAAGUUGAUGGUGAAAUCCCAAGGCUCAACCUUGGAACUGCCAUCAAAACUUUUUAGCUAGAGUGUGAUAGAGGUAAGUGGAAUUUCUAGUGUAGAGGUGAAAUUCGUAGAUAUUAGAAAGAACACCAAAUGCGAAGGCAACCUACUGGGUCACUACUGACACUGAGGAGCGAAAGCAUGGGUAGCGAAGAGGAUU